UGUACUUUCCUGCAGCCUCCAGGAAAGGUUGCAGGGCAAAAAGCACUAGGAGAGGGAGAGCAAAUGGAUUGCAUUUAUGUAUAUAUAUUUAUAUACUGGAAAGCAUCGUGUUUACCAUCCAGGUAAUGGUUACCAUCCAGUGAUAUUCAGGAGCUGGGAGUUCAGGAAAAGGUACCUCCUCAGCUGAGGUUGUCUGCAGACUUUCAGGAAGGGCCACCUCUGAAGGUCCAAUUCAGUACAGCCUGGCACCAACACAGACGGACGUCAACAGCAGUUACAACAGUGAGUCAAUUUGCA